rnacentral:rRNA from 1 species
UCGAACGCGAAAGGGACUUCGGUCCUGAGUAAAGUGGCGCACGGGUGAGUAACGCGUAGAUAACCUGUCUUCAUGUCUGGAAUAAUACGCCGAAAGGGGUACUAAUACCGGAUAUUCUUGCUUUUCAUAAGUUAUGCAAGCAAAGGUAGCCUCUGCAUAUGCUACUGCAUGAAGAGGGGUCUGCGUACCAUUAGCUAGUAGGUGGGGUAAUGGCCUACCUAGGCGACGAUGGUUAGCGGGUCUGAGAGGAUGAUCCGCCACACUGGCACUGGAACACGGGCCAGACUCCUACGGGAGGCAGCAGUGAGGAAUAUUGCGCAAUGGGGGAAACCCUGACGCAGCGACGCCGCGUGAGUGAGGAAGGCCUUCGGGUCGUAAAGCUCUGUCAAGAGGAAAGAAGUGUACAAUGGCUAAUACCUGUUGUAUUUGACGGUACCUCUAAAGGAAGCACCGGCUAACUCCGUGCCAGCAGCCGCGGUAAUACGGAGGGUGCAAGCGUUGUUCGGAAUUAUUGGGCGUAAAGCGCGUGUAGGCGGUUUCUUAAGUCUGAUGUGAAAGCCCCGGGCUCAACCUGGGAAGUGCAUUGGAAACUGGGGGACUUGAGUACGGGAGAGGGUAGUGGAAUUCCUAGUGUAGGAGUGAAAUCCGUAGAUAUUAGGAGGAACACCGGUGGCGAAGGCGGCUACCUGGACCGAUACUGACGCUGAGACGCGAAAGCGUGGGGAGCAAACAGGAUUAGAUACCCUGGUAGUCCACGCCGUAAACGAAGAGUACUAGGUGUUGCGGGUAUUGACCCCUGC